rnacentral:rRNA from 1 species
GACGAACGCUGGCGGCGUGCUUAACACAUGCAAGUCGAACGAAGUGGCGAACGGGUGAGUAACGCGUAAUCAACCUGCCCUUCAGAGGGGGACAACAGUUGGAAACGACUGCUAAUACCGCAUACUGAAGGAGGGGAUUGCGUCUGAUUAGCUAGUUGGAGGGGUAACGGCCCACCAAGGCGAUGAUCAGUAGGCGGGCUGGGGGGAUGGACGGGCACAUUGGGACUGAGGAACGGGCCAGGACCCUAAGGGGGGCAGCAGUGGGGAAUUAUCCGCAAUGGACGAAAGUCUGACGGAGCAACGCCGCGUGGGUGAUGACGGCCUUCGGGUUGUAAAGCUCUGUUAAUCGGGACGCGGUACCGGAAUAGAAAGCCACGGCUAACUACGUGCCAGCAGCCGCGGUAAUAC